UACGUAGGUGACCAGCGUUGUCCGGAUUUACUGGGCGUAAAGAGCGCGCAGGCGGUCGUUCAAGUCGAGUGUGAAAGCCCCCGGCUCAACUGGGGAGGGUCAUUCGAUACUGAUCGACUUGAAGGCAGGAGAGGGAAGCGGAAUUCCCGGUGUAGUGGUGAAAUGCGUAGAUAUCGGGAGGAACACCAGUGGCGAAGGCGGCUUCCUGGCCUGUUUCUUGACGCUGAGGCGCGAAAGCUAGGGGAGCAAACGGG
rnacentral:rRNA from 1 species